AGACCGAGCACCGCCGCGCCCGCCCUCACCAACAUGGCGACGCGAGAGAGACGGGGGCCCGUCAGGGCGGACCGACGGCAGCAACCGCUGUAGGAGCCGCAGCCGCCAUCUUGCGCGUGUCAGGUUGGGAGCGAGGCGGAUCUCAGCCAGUUCUGAGGCCAGAGAGAAUCAUACUUUGCUAGGGAGCUGUGCUGCUGAACACUGAUGCUUCUUGGGCCAGAUACUGCCACCCUUACUCUUGCUAAGUAAUACCUGACUCUGUACAGAACACACGUCUGAUUGACAAAAAUGCCUGACUGUCCCGAUGUAGCUACAGUGUCAACCAAGUUAACAGUGUUGUUUGUUUGAAAGACUGCCGUCCUUGUACUGUGCUUAGUGUGUGGGGAAAAAUGAAAUGUACCAUUUGUUGGAAUCAUACUGGCUAAGCCAUGUCACUUUAUACGCAUCUCUUUAAUAAAAGACAAUUGGCCAAA